rnacentral:rRNA from 1 species
AACGAACGCUGGCGGCAGGCUUAACACAUGCAAGUCGAACGGGUGUAGCAAUACAUCAGUGGCAGACGGGUGAGUAACACGUGGGAACCCUCCUAGAGGUACGGAACAACUCAGGGAAACUUGAGCUAAUACCGUAUACGCUCGUGAGAGGAAAGAUUUAUCGCCUUUAGACGGGCCCGCGUCGGAUUAGCUAGUUGGUGAGGUAACGGCUCACCAAGGCGACGAUCCGUAGCUGAUCUGAGAGGAUGAUCAGCCACACUGGAACUGAGACACGGUCCAGACUCCUACGGGAGGCAGCAGUGGGGAAUCUUGGACAAUGGGCGCAAGCCUGAUCCAGCCAUGCCGCGUGAGUGAAGAAGGCCUUCGGGUUGUAAAGCUCUUUUGUCAGGGACGAUAAUGACGGUACCUGAAGAAUAAGCCCCGGCAAACUUCGUGCCAGCCGCCGCCGUAA